CUGGCGUUAGAAAAGUAAAAAAAUAGAUGGGGCGCAUUGCGGUUCAAUGGGUUAACACAUAAAAGAACACACAGAGAAGAAAACCCAUAUGAAUGUGUUGUUUGCCUGUGCAGGAAAUGUUCACAUGUGAUCAAUUCAAAAAGACUAAAAUAAUACACACUGGAUAAAAAAGUUUAUGAAUUUGUUAUUCCGUGGUCAAAUGUUUAGUACACUACUGAACAUAAGGAACAAUACUGGGAACAAUAUUUGCCAAUAGUCCUGGUAAAAAUAUUUAUUAGACCUGACAAUUUAAUUGAGAACACUAUUUGCAAUCAAAUAAUAAUACAUUUUUAAUUAGAUCAACCCUCACUUGCACUUGGCAAUUACUGACAGGGUUAAUAUUACAGUCAUAGUCAAUCUUAAUACACAACAUAUAGUUCAGUAUAGUAGGCAGGAAUAAGCCAAAGUCAGUGACACAUUAUUUCACAAUAUUCUGCCAUUAGUAAAUAAACUUUGCCUUGCAAGACCUAGAAGAAAAUGGUAAAGGUUUAGAGAUUAAAAAUCUUGCAUCACUAUAGCUGAUAAACCCAAUAUUGUUACAGUACGGUAACUGUCUUUAAGGGUAAAUUUAAAUAUCUGACUGAUAUAAGACCAAAAUAACAAAGUAGCCCGAUUACUACGGGUAUAGCCUGUAAACACGACUGUCUUUGGGGCACAUCACAUAUCUACUCAGUAUCGCAUAUACAAAACAAGCAAAUGACUGAUGGUGACACUGGGAAACACUGCGGCUUACUGAGUUAACACAAAAGGUGGACCGACAAUCCAUGGAUGUAUUGUGGCUGUAUCAUUGGUAUAUAAAAACAUAAGCCUCACAUGGGUGGUUUUCCUUGCUACUUUCAGAACUUAAAUCAUUAAGCGCCAGCCCUCUCCCCUUGACAAGUAAAAUCGUCUGCUGUUAGACAGAGUAAAAUAAUAAAGUAGGGCGCAUCAGGGCGCAGUGCGACUCAAUGGGUUAACUAGACACACAGACAUAUAAGCUUGUCAACCAUUAAGCGCCAGCCCUCUCUGUUGACAAGUUAACUUGUCUGCCGUUAGAUAGAGGCUGACAGAGUAAAAUAAUAACAUAGGGUGCAUCAGGGUGCAAUGUGAGUCAAUGCACUAACUAGACAUAAAGACAUAUAGGGUAGUUAAUCAUUAAGCCGUUUAAGCACCAGUGCUCUCUCCUUGACAAGUAAAAUCGUCUGCCGUUAGACAGAGUAAAAUAAUAAAGUAGGGCGCAUCGGGGCGCAGUGCGACUCAAUAGAUUAACUAGACACAUAGACAUAUAAGCUAGUUAACUAUUAAGCGCCAGCGCUCUCUGUUGACAAGUUAACUUGUCUGCUGGUAGAUAGAGACUGACAGAGUAAAAUAAUAACAUAGGGUGCA